GAGAAGUGUGUUAACUUAAAUGAAGCAAUAAGUGAAGUUGUGAUCUUAAAUCUUUGUUAUCUUAAUUUAACUAGUGGUAAUUAGAAUUAGUUUACUUAUAAAUUGAAAUCCCUUCGUUUAAAUAAGAUUGAGUUGGUUACGGGUUAGUACUUGGUGAUUUUCUAUUAAACAAUUACUCGUGGGAACGAUACUCUACUUUUACUUUAUUACUUGUUGACCACAUAUACUUACGUGUUGUGCGUAAUUAGAUUUUACCCAACAACCACCUCGGGCUUCACGAAAUCAAUUUAUGUGGUUGGCCCAGCGUUAAGAUUUAAUUCAUCAGUACAAUGCCAAUGCAUUCAACACGCUUGCUGUUGCGUUUUCCCACUGCAAUCCUAGUGCACAUCCGAUGGUCAUGCCUAUUCCUCCGAUUCUGCCAACAUAUCCUCCUUCGGAUGACAUGUGGCGACCCCAAAUCCAG
rnacentral:lncRNA from 1 species